UGUAUGAACCAACCUGUUCCAUGUCAUUGUUGAGAGAGAGGAGAUGUUGUGAGCCACUGUGUUUCUCCAUUCUUGUUUGUAUGAGCUAGCCAAGUAAGGUUUUAGUUUUAUUUAAGUUAAAAGACAAUUAAAAAAAAAAAAUUAGCAUUCUUGCCUCGGUGCCUCUUGCCUCUGUCGUUGGGGGGCGCUUGCCUCCUCAAAGCCAAGCCAGGCAGUGCUAGGCGA
rnacentral:misc_RNA from 1 species